CACGCCCUAAACGAUGCUAACUCGAUGUUUGGGCGUAGUGCUUGAGCAUCCAAGGGAAACCGAUAAGUUAGCCACCUGGGGAGUACGUCCGCAAGGAUGAAACUCAAAGGAAUUGACGGG
rnacentral:rRNA from 1 species